UUUUCGGCUGGGAAAAAUCCCCAGGUGCCGGCCGGCCUCGCCUUGACCUUGCUGAAGGCGCCUUUAACCCGGCUGCCUGCGGGGCUCGGCCGGGUUGCGGGGGUCCGGGAAGGAGGAGGGUGCCCCGGAGGGGCUGGUUCCGCUCCUGGGGCACGGCGGGAAUCGGGUCGCGGCGGCUGCGGGGAGGGGACCCGGCUCCGCUGCAACCUGUUUCCNNNNNNNNNNNNNNNNNNNNNNNNNNNNNNNNNNNNNNNNNNNNNNNNNNNNNNNNNGCGUGGGUUGCGAGGAUCGAGAGCCCGUGGCGCUCCCCGCCGAGGUCAGCCUGCGGUCCCCGGCUUGGGGGUUCUCCGCGGGGCAGAGCCGCAGUCCGCGGGAGCUGGGCCGCCGGGUGGGCGGGGCCGGGGCGGGAAACCCGAGCCGAAGCCGCGACGUUCCAGGCCGCGUUCCAGCCCCUGGGGCGGCUCGGAGUCCCCGCCGCGCGUCCCUCCCCUCUCCCCGCCCGGACCCCCAUCCUCGCCAGCCCUGGCGCGCUCUGGGCGCCCUGCAGUUCAGCUUUGCCGGGAGCUCUCUUCGCCAAAGUUACAAGAGAUGUUUUCACAGGUGGUGGCAGUGGAAGCAAGUUGUGUGUGUGUGUGUGUGUGUGUGUGCGCGCGCGCGCGUGUGUGUGUGUGUGUGUUCGCAAGCGCGCGCGCGCAUGCUUGGGAGGGAAGGCAAGACCAGACAUCGCGCAAAAAUGAGAUUUCUUUCUUUGUAGAUGUUAUAAGGGGUCGUGGAGAAAGAAACAGUUUUCUCUGGCGAGGGUGAAGAUGGGAAGUCCUUUUACCUGGUGGAAUUGGACCCGUCGGAGUUAAUUCAGUGGGGUGAACGUGUGUCUCUUCUCCGUCUUGAGUGCAAUAGAUCUUGUGAAAUUUGGUCGUCCCUGGGUUUCUUCGGGACUUAGGAUGUAGGUGCUCAGGUAGUUUUAAGGGACUAAUUCAGGGAAGCUUUCAUUUUUAGCAGGUGUCUUUAAGUGCUUUAAGUGCGUUGGGGGCAGGUUGCAGGUGGGUGUGUGGACUUUCCAUAUUCUAGGGUGGGGAAGCUGUCAGGGAUGGGGAGGUUCAGUAUACAACGAAGAGGGAGCUCUUGGAUUCAUCUGUCAACAUCCUAUUCUCAAGGCCUCUCUUCGAUGGGGGUGGGGUGUGGAAUGGAGGCAGUAGGACAAUGAGCCCUCCUAAUAGACAAUGGGGUGGGGAAGGGUCAGCUUGGUGCUCACUGCCUGAGCCCGGGGGGCAGAAGCAGUGCUCAGCCUAAAGAAGAGUCAUCAGAAGACAGUUCUAAGCAAAGGGAAUGCUGGGAAUAUGAGGUAGUGAGCUCCAUGGGAAACAGGUGUUGCAGUAGAAGGCUGGGGCUUGGUGGAGUGGGGAAUUUGGAUCUCCAAAGGCUCUCUUCCAAUAGAUGUGACUUUGUGGCACAAUCUCCUCAACCCUCUGUGGUUUUGUGGCAGUAAAUGGAUGCGAUGUGACUUUAACCCCUUAAUUUCCUGGGCAGGAGUCAUGUGGCCUUAGGCAGGUUUCCUUUGGAACUUCAGUUCUCUUGCCUGUAAAAUGGGAAGCUAUUGUCUUAGUUUCCAACACUGCAAGGAUUAAGGUCCUCAAAGCCUCUGGCACACUGCAGGACAUCCACAGAUGAUCCUUCGGGCCCACCGCCUUCAUCUCUUUCCAGCUUUGUGCUUCUGAGAGUGGGGGUUGGGCAGGGAAAUCAACAGCCCCAGAAAGAACCAGCAACAUUGCAUCCAAAGUCUAUUUAAAACCAGCUCAAAUGCUUGAAACAAAAAUAUCAUCUCUUUUCUUAGAAAAGUCAUUUCCAGUCUUGUUAGAAUUUCUCCCUCAUUGAGUCCUUUUUUUUUUUUUCCUGACGGAAUUACAUGCAGAUUGGCAUGUUACAUAACCUGGUAUUUCCAGAUCAAACGUUACAAAUAUGGGAGAGAAGGAGAUUAAAAAUUGGAGAUGUUGGGCAACACCAGCAAGGGAUUCGCUCGGAGAUGCCUACCCACUCUCCUUAAAUGUUAGAGACUGAAGGAAAAAGAGACCUACCAAGCACAAGGUAUAACUCUCUGCCUGGUACCCUCAGAUGCCUGUCUGGUUUUGAGGAAUGGCUACUCUGCCUGGACCCCCAUCAUGCUGCUGUUCUGGUCCUAAUACAUUCACCCACAUUCAUAAAUGUAAAAACGGAAACAUGAGAACCAUGGGAUUCAGAUCAUCUCCUUGCAGAUUUGAUUCCAACAGCCUAGCAGGGUCAAUCAACAUCAAUUCUAGAUCUAAAGGUCCCAUCUUUACCUGCCUUCUUACCUGGUCUGUCAGCCUGGCUUAUUGCUACGUGAAAUCUUCGCUUUGCACUGAAAGACUGCUAUGGGGGCCACUUUGCAAGUAACACAUGCCCCAAUUCCCAGGAAACCAGGCUUACAUGGAUCCCUGAAUUUAUAGUUUUCUAUAAGGAAGGCUUCUAAUGAAACCAUAAAAGUAGAUGCGUAGUCCUCUGUGGGUUAUAUAUUUAUUACUUUGUUACAGGUUUUUUUUUCCCUUUUAUUAUCUUUAUUCCAGUUAUUACCAAAGUAAUAUAUGUUCACUGUAGCAAAGUAAAACAAUAUAGAAGAAAAGCAAAAAGAAAAUGUUUCACCACAUUUGGGGGUGUGUGUACCUUUUGACUUCUCCAUAGGAAUGUAGGAAAAAAUGAGGUCAUAGUUACAAUAUUUUGUAUGCUUAUUUUCCUUUAAGGAUAAAUCUUUCUGUGUUAUACACAUUUUCCCCCAGUGCAACAUUUUUAAUGGCUGCAUAGAACCCCAAUGUUUUGAUAUGGUAAAAUUUCAUUGAACAGUACCCAAAUUUUGACUUUGUUUAUUUUUAGUUCUUUAUCAUCAUAACAAAGCUGCAGUCAUUAUUCUUGUCCGCACUCUGCAAUUUUAGUGUCUCCUUAAGAUAAAUCCCUUGAAAGCAGGAUUGUAGAGUCAGAGGCUGAGACUUCGGUCACACGUGAGAAGCUGUAGGGUCCACUGUGAUUUCUGCUUCAUCUUUUUAACCAGGAUGUGGCUGCUAACUUUGCAGUCCCUCUAAAGGCUUGGGCACCUUGGCCGUAGAGGAAGGUGGGGCUGGCAGGCCAACCUCAGGCAGGGGAUUUACAUGACUUGAUGACUUGGAGCUGUUCUGCUAAACUGAUAGGCAAAUUGUUUCUCCAAGAACAUCUUUUUCCCUGGCUGUCUUGGAAUCAUCAUCCUUAGUAAUGCUUCAGCCAGCAAUGGAGUCGAAAUAUGUAAAUCUGUGUCUCUGUACUGUAGUGGGGCUGGCUCCCUGGUGAAUGACAAACAGUUCCCCAGAAGUGUGUGUGUGUGUCUUUGCAUCUUUGCAUUGGGAUUCCCCCUAUGCCCCCCCC
ensembl:lncRNA